UCGGGUUGUCAUGCCAAUGGCACUGCCCGGUAGCUAAAUGCGGAAGAGAUAAGUGCUGAAAGCAUCUAAGCACGAAACUUGCCCCGAGAUGAGUUCUCCCUGAGACUUUAAGUCUCCUGAAGGAACGUUAAAGACGAUGACGUUGAUAGGUCGGGUGUGUAAGCGCAGCGAUGCGUUGAGCUAACCGAUACUAAUGAACCGUGAGGCUUAACCUU
rnacentral:rRNA from 1 species